GUAGUCUGCAACCCGACUACAUGAAGCUGGAAUCGCUAGUAAUCGCGGAUCAGAAUGCCGCGGUGAAUACGUUCCCGGGUCUUGUACACACCGCCCGUCACACCAUGGGAGUCGGAAAUGCCCGAAGUCUGUGACCCAACCUACGGGAGGGAGCAGCCGAAGGCAGGUCGGAUGACUGGGGUGAAGUCGUAACAAGGUAAC
rnacentral:rRNA from 1 species